GGCGCACGGGUGCGUAACGCGUAUGCAAUCUACCUUUUACAGAGGGAUAGCCCAGAGAAAUUUGGAUUAAUACCUCAUAGCAUAGCAGCUUCGCAUGAAGCCACUAUUAAAGUCACAACGGUAAAAGAUGAGCAUGCGUCCCAUUAGCUAGUUGGUAAGGUAACGGCUUACCAAGGCAACGAUGGGUAGGGGUCCUGAGAGGGAGAUCCCCCACACUGGUACUGAGACACGGACCAGACUCCUACGGGAGGCAGCAGUGAGGAAUAUUGGACAAUGGGCGCAAGCCUGAUCCAGCCAUGCCGCGUGCAGGAUGACGGUCCUAUGGAUUGUAAACUGCUUUUGCACAGGAAGAAACAACAUUACGUGUAAUGUCUUGACGGUACUGUGAGAAUAAGGAUCGGCUAACUCCGUGCCAGCAGCCGCGGUAAUACGGAGGAUCCAAGCGUUAUCCGGAAUCAUUGGGUUUAAAGGGUCCGUAGGCGGUUUAGUAAGUCAGUGGUGAAAGCCCAUCGCUCAACGGUGGAACGGCCAUUGAUACUGCUAGACUUGAAUUAUUAGGAAGUAACUAGAAUAUGUAGUGUAGCGGUGAAAUGCUUAGAGAUUACAUGGAAUACCAAUUGCGAAGGCAGGUUACUACU
rnacentral:rRNA from 1 species